rnacentral:rRNA from 1 species
UACGGGGGGAGCAAGCGUUGUUCGGAUUUACUGGGCGUAAAGGGCGCGUAGGCGGCGCAACAAGUCACUUGUGAAAUCUCCGGGCUUAACCCGGAGCGGUCAAGUGAUACUGUCGUGCUAGAGUGCAGAAGGGGCAACUGGAAUUCUCGGUGUAGCGGUGAAAUGCGUAGAUAUCGAGGGGAACACCUGCGGCGAAGGCGGGUUGCUGGGCUGACACUGACGCUGAGGCGCGAAAGCUAGGGGAGCGAACGGG